rnacentral:rRNA from 1 species
GAUGAACGCUGGCGGCGUGCCUAAUACAUGCAAGUCGAGCGAACAGACGAUGAGCUUGCUCCUCUGACGUUAGCGGCGGACGGGUGAGUAACACGUGGAUAACCUACCUAUAAGACUGGGAUAACUUCGGGAAACCGGAGCUAAUACCGGAUAAUAUAUUGAACCGCAUGGUUCAAUAGUGAAAGACGGUUUUGCUGUCACUUAUAGCUGGAUCCGCGCCGCAUUAGCUAGUUGGUAAGGUAACGGCUUACCAGGGCAACGAUGCGUAGCCGACCUUAGGGGGGGAACGGCCACACUGAAACUGAGCGACGGUACGGACUCCAAGGGAAGGCACCGGUAGGAACUUUACCGAAAUGGGCGAAAUCCUGACGGAUCAACGCGGGGUGGGUACGGCAGGUCUGCGAAUGGUAAAACGCUGUUCUUGGGGAAAACCAAUUUUGAAAGUAACUAUGCAGGUCUGAAGGUAACCUAUACAGAAGGCCCGGGUAAAUACGUG